rnacentral:rRNA from 1 species
UUGGAUGAGUGGCGAACGGGUGAGUAACACGUGAGUAACCUGCCCUCUUCUUUGGGAUAACGGUCGGAAACGGCUGCUAAUACCGGGUAUUCACUGUCCUUCGCAUGGGGGGUGGGUGGAAAGGUUUUUUCUGGUGGGGGAUGGGCUCGCGGCCUAUCAGCUUGUUGGUGGGGUGAUGGCUUACCAAGGCUUUGACGGGUAACCGGCCUGAGAGGGUGACCGGUCACAUUGGGACUGAGAUACGGCCCAG